AGCAGAGUGGCGCAGUGGGGCGUGCUGGGCCCAUAACCCAGAGGUCAGUCCGUGGAUCCGAACCCACGCUCUGCUA